UAUGCCUUUAGUAGCGGCGAGUGAGCGGCAAAAAGCUCAAAUUUGAAAUCUGGCGCCUUCGGUGUCCGAGUUGUAAUUUGAAGAUUGUAACCUUGGGGUUGGCUCUUGUCUAUGUUUCUUGGAACAGGACGUCACAGAGGGUGAGAAUCCCGUGCGAUGAGAUGCCCAAUUCUAUGUAAGGUGCUUUCGAAGAGUCGAGUUGUUUGGGAAUGCAGCUCUAAGUGGGUGGUAAAUUCCAUCUAAAGCUAAAUAUUGGCGAGAGACCGAUAGCGAACAAGUACAGUGAUGGAAAGAUGAAAAGAACUUUGAAAAGAGAGUGAAAAAGUACGUGAAAUUGUUGAAAGGGAAGGGUUUGAGAUCAGACUCGAUAUUUUGUGAGCCUUGCCUUCGUGGCGGGGUGACCCGCAGCUUAUCGGGCCAGCAUCGGUUUGGGCGGUAGGAUAAUGGCGUAGGAAUGUGACUUUACUUCGGUGAA
rnacentral:rRNA from 1 species